rnacentral:rRNA from 1 species
CCCUGCCCUUUGUACACACCGCCCGUCGCACCUACCGAUUGAAUGGUCCGGUGAAGCCUCGGGAUUGUGAUCUGUUUCCUUCAUUGGAGAUGGGAUAACUUGUCUAAACCUUAUCAUUUAGAGGAAGG